GAUCUGUCGGCGGUGGUGGUGAGGGCGCCGCGACGCCGCUUUUAAGCUCGGGCGUAUAUUUUUGUUUUUCGUCGUUUAUUGGCGGGAAAACGUUGGAUACGUUUCAGAUUUAUACCGGGUAUCCAGGAACUCUACCGACAAACUUUAAAGGGUGAUUCUCCAACAAAAAAUACGAUUUUAUUUUAUAUGAAUAUUUGCAGAUAUGUUCUAUGCAUUAGGGAGCAUUUUUGACGUACAAGAAAAAAAACCAGUGACGUCCGUUGCUAGAUGAAGUGUGUAAGUAUUUAAAUCAGACUUAGCAAAAUAAAUCCAUAGGAAGAGGUGGUCCAAUUGCUAAGGCUCCUAGAUCUCCCGAUUUAAGUCCCGGAUAUUUUUGCAUUUAAUAUCGAAAGUUUAUGCCCUUCCCAUAGAAAUUAUAUUGACUAAACGAGCGAUAAUAUAAAAUUAAUUUUGUUAUGUUUUUUGUAAUAAAUCUCUUACUUUCUUUUA